rnacentral:miRNA from 1 species
UGACCCCCUGUCCUCACACAGU